GACGUAGGGUCCGAGCAUUGUCCGGAAUUAUUGGGCGUAAAGAGCUCGUAGGCGGUCUGUUGCGUCGGCUGUGAAAACCCGGGGCUCAACUCCGGGCCUGCAGUCGAUACGGGCAGACUAGAGUUCGGUAGGGGAGACUGGAAUUCCUGGUGUAGCGGUGAAAUGCGCAGAUAUCAGGAGGAACACCGGUGGCGAAGGCGGCUUGCUGGGCCUUACCUGACGCUGAGGAGCGAAAGCGUGGGGAGCGAACAGG
rnacentral:rRNA from 1 species